AUCUUUUGUGAUGACAGUUGGAAGUUGGAGAGGAAACCAUCUCAUCCCAACUGUGAUCUCACUACUAGACGGCAGUGCUGAAAGCACGCAGAGCUACAUGAAGACGGGCUGACGUUGGCGUGAAGGCCGGAGACUGUUUUCACACUGUAGUUACUUGGAAAUGUGCAGCCGUGUCGACAGAGACAAGAAGCCAAAGUAACAGGGACCUCACGUUCAUGCAGCUAUCAGAACGCAACUGAAAUGAAGACAGCGACAGAUCAGAUCCACACAUAGACAAGGCCUCACUGCUGGGAUUAGGCUCUGUGCCCACUAUUUUGGUCCACAUAAAGGCUGUUAGCAAGAAAGUAUUACUAAUGUAAACUAUGAGGAAUACUGGCUCAGCCGCUCCUGUGAGAAGCUUUGCACUCUCCACCGCCCCCCAGCAAUGCACAGCCCCACCUUUUCCAGCGCUUCACGGACCACUCUCUCUGUUUCCCGCUUGUGGUCCGACUUCAUCCUGUCUUUAAAGUCAUUAAAAAUUUUGGUGUA
rnacentral:lncRNA from 1 species